rnacentral:rRNA from 1 species
AUUGAACGCUGGCGGCAUGCCUUACACAUGCAAGUCGAACGGCAGCACGGGAGCAAUCCUGGUGGCGAGUGGCGAACGGGUGAGUAAUAUAUCGGAACGUGCCCAGUCGUGGGGGAUAACGUAGCGACAGCUACGCUAAUACCGCAUACGAUCUAUGGAUGAAAGCGGGGGAUCGCAAGACCUCGCGCGAUUGGAGCGGCCGAUACCAGAUUAGGUAGUUGGUGGGGUAAAGGCUCACCAAGCCGACGAUCUGUAGCUGGUCUGAGAGGACGACCAGCCACACUGGGACUGAGACACGGCCCAGACUCCUACGGGAGGCAGCAGUGGGGAAUUUUGGACAAUGGGCGCAAGCCUGAUCCAGCAAUGCCGCGUGCAGGAUGAAGGCCUUCGGGUUGUAAACUGCUUUUGUACGGAGCGAAAAGGCUCUCUCUAAUACAGGGGGCUCAUGACGGUACCGUAAGAAUAAGCACCGGCUAACUACGUGCCAGCCGCCGCAGUAA